UGCAGUCGAGAAUCUUUCGCAAUGGGCGAAAGCCUGACGAWGCGACGCCGUGUGUGUGAUGAAGGCCUUCGGGUCGUAAAG
rnacentral:rRNA from 1 species